CCAAAAUUUGAGCUAUACAAUCAAAUGAAUUACAAAAUAAAGCACAGAAAAUGAUUAGAAUGAUUAAAGUACAUUUAAACAAAAAACCACAUGAAUACACAUUUACACUAAUUAACCUGAUAUAAACCAAGUUAUUGACAAAACAUAGUUGUUAUGGGUGCCACUGUGACCUGGAGAAAUUACAUAAAUCUUUAUAGUUCUAGGUCUAUGGGAGACAACUCCUGGUCAAUUUUAUUUCCUAUAUAUAUAUCUAUAUAUAUUUCUCUUCUAUCUUUUUUUUUUUCAAACAAUAAUAUUUUCUAUAAUUUUCUUUCGUUCUUCAAAAAGGGAGUGCAAUAAAUUAGAAAAGUUUGAAGUAACAAACAAAUCUUCAGAUGAAAGAAUCCAAACAAAUUUCAUUUCAUCAGAUAAUCUUGAAAAAUUUUUGAAUUUUGAAUUUAAAUUAGAUAGAUGUUGAGAUCGAGUAUCUUUUAGUAUCUUUCUGUGUGUUUGGUUUAGUAUACAAGUGUGGCAGUGAAGUUUAUUUUUAUAUUUAGUUUUAAUGUCCAAGACAGUCAUGGAGGAGAUACUAAUUGCAUAUAUUACCAAUGAUUCUGAUAAAAUAUGUUCCACAACUUAGAUUUUGAAUAGCAGCAAAACUUAAAAUUAGGAAGAUGACAGAAUUGGUUGAGUCUUACAAUAAAGAUCUGCAGAGGGCAAUGACAGGUAGAAGACCUUAUACAUUUACGAGGAAUCACGAUCAUUUAAGAUCAUUUAUCAUUGCCAGACAUGUAUGGUUGAUUAUAAAGGGAAUCACUGAAGCAUUACUGGAGCGCCCCUUCCCUUUAUAAAAAGUUCUGGAUCCGCCACUGUCGUGUAGUAAGUUUUCAUCCUG
rnacentral:lncRNA from 1 species